rnacentral:lncRNA from 1 species
UAAAAGUAUGAUUGAUAAAUAUUGAUAUUAUUUUUAUGUUUUUGUGUUAUAAUUUUAGAAUUGAAUGCUUCUUUUUGUAAAUUUAUUGGGUUGUAAAAGUGUUGACCAAAGUACAUUUUGUAUGAAGCGUGGGAGUUAAAAAUAUGUGCAUGGUCAAUGCUUUUACAAUCCUGUUAAAUGAAAUUAAUAGAAGAAUCUUUCAAUACUUAUAAUUACAUUUUUUACUAUGAUCAUGAAUUAUGAUUACUAUCAAGUUUUUUUUUAUUUACCUGCACACUUUAUUGUAGAAGUUCAUCAUGCCAUUAUGAAUGCUAAUUUCAGAAUAACAAAAGAUUGCUGUUAGCCAAUCAGAAUAAUGUAUUAUAAUGAAAUAUACAUGUAAUGUAAUUUUAUCUUUAUGAGAAAAUUGUUUGUAGAAAUUGUGAAAGCCGGGAAUUCAAGUACCAAGGGAAAUGGAAUUUUUCAUGAAUCCUUACAAAAAAAUUAAUCCAAAGUAUUGUCUUUCAAACACUUGCAUAUCAUUUAUAACACUAUUUCAAUGUCUUAAAACAGGUAUGUCUCAUGAAGGUUAUUGAUUGUUUUUGUUUAUUCCCUACUUUGCGUUAUUCCAUUAAAAUAAAUGUAGGAGGGAAGGAAGGAAAUUGUAAUUAUUGAAUGUGGGUCAUGGGUAUUUUUUCAGUAUGCCUCUAAUACCAUAAAAUGUUCUUACCCUCCCACAUACAUUUUAAAUGGAACAGCCCUAACAAGAGACAUGAGAGAGGAGUCAUUAUGUUUAUCAAUUUGUGCAUCUGUUCGUCAAUAAGUCUGCCUCAUAUCAAGUUGUUAAGAUGAACACAUUUUAUUAGGGUUUAUGUGUGGUUGAUUUGAACUAAAUUUCCAUAUGUAUUCUAUUUUACUUUUCAAAUGUUCUGUGUAAAGUCAAUGUAAUGUCAUCUAACACAACAAAUAUUUCUGUUUUCAUUGAAUAAUGAAAAUUCUGUGAGGAUGAAAGUAGUUUUGAAAAAGAUAUGUUAACUUGUGGUCAUUUAUUGUUAUUGUGGGUGCUCAAGAUUAAAA